rnacentral:lncRNA from 1 species
AUGGGUGGGCCAUGGGGACAGAGCAACGUGCAGCCAGUGGACCCGAGGCAGUGUCAGGUGGGACAUAGAUGCAAGAUCAAGUCACAUGGGUCAUAUGGCGUUAUUGCCAUUUGGAUUUUGGCUUCACUUUUUGUGUUUGUUUCUUCCCUAGUGUGUCUAAGUCACACUCCCAUGUGUGUGCUGGGACCUCGCAGCAUCACCCCAUCCCUGGAAGUCCUCUGCCUGCGCAAGCAGCCCUGGAACUCUCCAGGCAUCUUUCUGCCCCAGACGUGUGGCCACCUCUGUGGCCACCUCGACGGGAGCCGCAUCCCCACGGUCUGCCGGGGCCUGAGCAGGAGCCGCCACGGAAGUUGCUGCAUGGCGCUGACAAACUCUUCACGAGCUGAGGCAGGCACGAAAAACUCUGGCCGUCCGUGGACUUACUCUGCCAGUUGACUCGCAAGUUAUUUAUCUGUUUGAGGAACGAGUAAACGAUGAUGUGAAGAAUAAGGAGAUAAACGCAAACCACACUGGAAUCAUGCAACUGAAACUGCGCACCAAUAAUCUGUGUCUCUGGCUCCCAGCAGCACAGCUUAGGAGGCUGCUGCGUGAGUGACUCAGGGGAGGGGAGCGGAGAAAUGGAGCAGGCUUCGGGUGCCCAUGGCCUUGGGGAGGUGCUGGGCCAGCCCUGGACCCCCGGCCUCAGGAAGCCUCUGACCUGAGGACAGCCGCAUCCGUGGUGUGCAUAGACUGUGGCUGGGAUCAAGUUUCCCGUUACUCACAGGGACUCUGCCUUGACUGGCUUCCCAACCUCACCUGGAGAAGAAGUCAUUUUAUUUAUUUAUUUUAAAGACACAGUGCAAGCAGCUUGUUUAUUUAUUCAUGCUUUUUUUAGGGCCAAACCCGCAGCAUAUGGAUGUUCCCAGGCUAGGGGGUGGAAUCAGAGCUUUACCUGUCAGCCCACAUACACCACGGUUCACGGCAGUGCCAGAUCCUUAACCCUCAGAGUGAGGCUGGGGAUUGAACCCGCAUCCUCGUGGAUACUAGUUGGAGUCGUUUCUGCUGCACCGAAACUGGAACUCCAAGAAGUAAUUUUACACGUAUCAAAUUAACAUGUAAGAAACCAAAC